rnacentral:rRNA from 1 species
UACGUAGGGUGCGAGCGUUGUUCGGAAUUACUGGGCGUAAAGGGCGCGUAGGCGGGUUUGCAAGUCGAUUGUGAAAUCCCAGGGCUUAACCCUGGAGCUGCAGUCGAAACUGCAAGUCUUGAAUGUCUGAGAGGGUGGGAGAAUUCCUGGUGUAGUAGUGAAAUACGUAGAUAUCAGGAGGAAUACCGGCGGCGAAGGCGGCAUCCUGGACCGGUAUUGACGCUGAGGCGCGAAAGCCAGGGGAGCAAACGGG